GGAAGUAAAAGUCGUAACAAGGUCUCCGUUGGUGAACCAGCGGAGGGAUCAAUUAAAGAGUAUUACAACUCUAAACCCUUUGAGAACCUUACCGCUGUUGCUUCGGCGGGCGGCCGAUCCCCUCGGGGUGACGCCACCCUGCCUGGAGGUUUUUCCAGGUGUCCGCCGGAGUGACGCAAAAAACAAACCUCUUUAUAACAGUAUUCUGAGUACAAAAGACAAAAUAGUCAAAACUUUCAACAACGGAUCUCUUGGUUCUGGCAUCGAUGAAGAACGCAGCAAAUUGCGAUAAGUAAUGUGAAUUGCAGAAUUCCGUGAAUCAUCGAAUCUUUGAACGCACAUUGCGCCUGCCAGCAUUCUGGCAGGCAUGCCUGUUCGAGCGUCAUUUCAACCCUCAAGCCUUGCUUGGUGUUGGGGUUCUCCGCACUGCGGGAGGCCCCGAAAGCUAUCGGCGAGACGGCCCACGGGCACCGAGCGUAGUAAAUUU
rnacentral:misc_RNA from 1 species